rnacentral:rRNA from 1 species
GAACUUGACAUCCCUGUGACUAUCUCUUAAUCGAGAGUCUUCCCUUUUGGGAACACAGGUGACAGGUGGUGCAUGGCUGUCGUCAGCUCGUGUCGUGAGAUGUUGGGUUAAGUCCCGUAACGAGCGCAACCCCUAUCCUUAGUUGCCAGCAUGUAAUGGUGGGGACUCUAAGGAGACUGCCGCGGAAAAACGCGGAGGAAGGUGGGGAUGACGUCAAGUCAUCAUGCCCCUUAUGUUCUGGGCUACACACGUGCUACAAUGGCUUAUACAGAGGGUUGCUACAUCGUGAGAUGAUGCUAAUCUCUAAAGUAAGUCUCAGUUCGGAUUGCAGGCUGCAACUCGCCUGCAUGAAGCUGGAAUCGCUAGUAAUCGUGGAUCAGAAUGCCACGGUGAAUACGUUCCCGGGUCUUGUACACACCGCG